GACGAACGCUGGCGGCGUGCCUAAUACAUGCAAGUAGAACGCUGAAGAGAGGAGCUUGCUCUUCUUGGAUGAGUUGCGAACGGGUGAGUAACGCGUAGGUAACCUGCCUUGUAGCGGGGGAUAACUUUUGGAAACGAUAGCUAAUACCGCAUAACAAUGGAUGACACAUGUCAUUUAUUUGAAAGGGGCAAUUGCUCCACUACAAGAUGGACCUGCGUUGUAUUAGCUAGUAGGUGAGGUAAUGGCUCACCUAGGCGACGAUACAUAGCCGACCUGAGAGGGUGAUCGGCCACACUGGGACUGAGACACGGCCCAGACUCCUACGGGAGGCAGCAGUAGGGAAUCUUCGGCAAUGGGGGCAACCCUGACCGAGCAACGCCGCGUGAGUGAAGAAGGUUUUCGGAUCGUAAAGCUCUGUUGUAAGUCAAGAACGGGUGUGAGAGUGGAAAGUUCACACUGUGACGGUAGCUUACCAGAAAGGGACGGCUAACUACGUG
rnacentral:rRNA from 1 species